GGGAAUCUGGUGAUACUUUCCCUGUCCUGGACAGAAAGCAGUUCUUGUUUUUCCAUAUUCUCAUCCAAAAUUUGCUGCUACUUCUGAACUUGCCAAGAAGCUUCAACAAAGAGUGGGGAAAAUCAUUUUUCAGUGCAAUGGCAACACCUCAGUGAGUUAGACUUUUGCCUGAAGACCAUGAAAAAGUGCCAGGAGCCAUUAGAACAAAACCGAUAGUACUUAUGGAGAGAAAGAUGGUUCUCUGAAAGGACAUUGCUCUGCUGGGAAAUCUGAAAACAGGUCAUUGAUGAACUGCUCAUCUUCCCACACAUGUACUCUGGUGCAGGAAGGGUGGCAUUUGCAGCAAUCUAUCUGUGUUUACAUGCUAAUUCUCUCAAGUUCUUUUAUCAUCUGUUUCUUGCAAGAAAUCAGGGUGACUGGUCCUGGUUUUUUCUUCCACACUUGCUGGAAUAAAUGCACUUCAAAUGCUUUUGUUCGCUGGUAGCUUUCCAUUUCGCAUGGCUACACACAUGACUUGCAAACCACAGCAUGGCAGUUGUGACCAUCAGCUGGCUGCUUCAAUUAUGGUGACUUUUAUCUCAUCUCUUGGAAUGAGGGUGUUAAUAUAUCAUGCAUAAGGUCCAGCCAACUAGCUGACCAAAACUAAGAUGCUUUUGCCUCAUAUAUUAAUAUAAUUUUCUAAUUCAUAGAAAACAUAACUUACAGG